rnacentral:lncRNA from 1 species
UAAUAUUGCCUUUUACCCCAUCAUCGACUCUCUCAUGAUCUCAUCUACCGGCGGCGCGUCUUCUUUUGGUAGGGUUUCUUGGUUCGACGAGUUCUGAUCUUUUUUUUGUCGAACACGAAUAUUUGUCGACGUUUGCGAUUCUCUUGAGAUCGUGUGAACUGUUUUUCCGAAUAGUUCCUAGAUUUCUAGACGAAAAAAAUGAUAUUUUUUGUUCUGUUCUAAUGGCAAUCCAUGCUAACCGGUGAUUUCUUGUUCGACGACGAACGUAUAUUUGAGGUAGGGCGUCACGAUUUUUCGACUUGUCUUUUUUCGUUCACCGAGAAUGAUCUACUGCUACAGAGAGUGGGGUGGGAAUCUGAACCUCCAGUAGGUAGACCUCUUCUCAACGGACUUCUACUUCGAGGCCGCAGUGGAUUCAUCCACGUUCUGAUUUUAGGGUAUUCUUGCUGUUGGCCAUGGCCAUGAACACUUGCUGGAAGAAUCAUGAUGUAUUUUUGUCUAAAAUUGCUCAAUAGAAUCGGCGGGAUUCCCCAACCGUCGCAUUUCUAUCAUCCGAGCCGGAUCUUACACCGACGAGCUCCUCAAGACAGCUGUAGGUAUUCACGAUUCUUCAUCAACUUCUCAAUAUGUGUCUGUGUAUAAUUAAAUCAAAUAUGUGAGUGAAUUUCCUACAUGUGAAAUUUUGUGUGAAUGUGAUACGCAUUGUAUGAAUUUAAGUUGCUAAUGAUAGAACUCUAUUUCUGGAUUAUUGUGUGUAAAUUUGAUGUUCAAAUAAUAGUAGUUGACUUUUGUCGUUCAAACAUGAUGUUCAAAUAUGAUGCUUGUGUCGUUGGUUUAUGGCUUAAAUUUUGAGCAGUUUUCUUUGUUCUAGUUGAAUUGCACUAUUAGUUGUGUUGAUGUUAAAGUGAAUUUGACUUUUGAUUGAAUGUGUUUGUAGCUUAGCUUGGGAUUUUGAUUGACAACCUUAUAGGUUUAUGUCGAAAAACUAGAAAUCAAAAUAAAACUAGACUUAAAAAAGAAGAGGGACAACAUGACGUUAUUUCUAAGGAGAGAUCUAUUAGUGCUUGGUAUUGUAUUAGGAUCCCAAAUGGUCAUAUUGCUGAUUUUUCAAUCAUAGCAUACUCUCUCUCAAAUUGUUGUGCAAGUGAAACUUUUGAGGUUCUUCAAAAUGAAUUUUUUUUUUCUUACUAUUUCUUAUUGAUACUUGGCUCUUUGAAGGAGAAAAAUGUGUUCUAUUGCUGCAUUGUUUUUUAUGUAGGGGAAAACCCUUUGAAUUUGACCUUUUUAUUUUAAAAUUCUCAAAUAGGUGGGGAUGCCCUCCAAGCAACUUUCCAUUAACAUAUUCUGCAAAAGAACAUGCUAUCUGGGAAAGGUGAAAAUGUAAGAAGGCAGUUGAGAUAGGAUCCCACCAACUUUAAUUCUGAGCUUAUUCAUUGAAUUAAUGACUUUGUUCGUUAUUGUCAUAUAUUUUAUUCGGUGAAAAACUAAUGUUUUAUUACUAUAUUUUAUGAUCGAAAUAAACUAAUUCUUAGCUUUAUUCAGUGAAUUGUUGACUUUUUUCAUUACUAUUGUACAUUUUAUUCGGUGAUCAAAUUAUGUUUUAAAAUUAUACAUUACAAUUUAGUGAUCAAAAUGAACAGGUUAUUAGCUAAUUCAUUGAAUUAUUGAUUUUAUUCAAUAUAAUUUAUUUGGUGAUCAAAAUAAUGUUUUAAAAUUAUACAUAACAAUUUAGUGAUCAAAAUGAACGUAUAUAUCUUAGCUUAUUCAUUGAACUAUUGAUUAUCGUUGAAUAUUUUAUUGUGUGAAAAAACUAAUGUAAUAAAUACUUUUAAAAAUGUGUACAAUGGACUUCGUGUUCAACAAUUAUAAAAAUUACUAAAGAUAGAUAAACUAAAUAAGCUCAGGAAUAAUUUUAUACAAGUCUAUCAAUCAACAACUAAGCUAAUGAAUAAGUUAGAAAAGGAAAAAGACUGAAAAUUGUAAAUGUCUUUGAAUCAUCAACGCGCACCAAUACUAGGCUUCUAAUUAAAAAAAGUUUUCUCUCCUUGUUGAGAGCCUUUGCUUUUUCUCCUAGUUGAGAACCUGUCUUUUGAUUCUCUCUUCUUUCGUCUCUCUCAUGGAAGAUCAGAUGGCAGGACUACACAUCUCUCAUGAGGACGAUGAAUUGACGAUUGACGAUGAGAUCACGGGUGAUUCAAAUGUUUCAGUCGAUCUGUGCUUGGUGGGGCGUUUUCUCACUGAGCAACCUAUAAAUUUCAGCCUAAUGCGAAGCCGUCUGGCGAGUAUCUGGCGACCAGGGAAAGGAGUCUUCGUCAAGGAUAUAGGAAAAGGGCGCUACAUCUUCCAGUUUUUCCACGAAAUCGAUCUACUGCGCGUGUUUGAGGGAGGUCCUUGGUCCUUUGGAAUUUUUCCGCUCAUUCUACACCGGCUUAAACGUGGCGAAUUUCCGAUGGUUGUUCCCCUUGAUCUUCUUCCGUUUUGGGUCCAGAUCCAUGAUAUCCCGGCGGGAUACCUAACCGCAGGUUUCGGCAAACUUCUUGGAAAUUUUGUUGGCUCAUUCAUGGAGUAUGAUACUACAAUUCUCGGGAGUUUGGAGGCAGUACAUGCGUGUCCGGGUUGGCAUCCGGGUUUCUGAACCUCUUAAGCGUUUUAAGAAAGUUCGACAUAAAGAUGGUUCUUCCUUCGUGGUAAAUUUCAAGUAUGAGAGACUCAAUGUCUUUUGCUUUCUCUGUGGCAAACUCGGACAUUCCGAGAGUUUCUGUGAACUUAUGUUCCUCCCAACGGUGAAAGAGGCAGCUCGGGAAUGGGGAGUCUGGUUGAAGGCUGAUGAUCGUCGUGGCAUUACUUUGGCCGGUGACAAGUGGAUCCGAAAUGAUGACAGCGCAGGAAACCCUAGCUUGGUGGCGGCGCAUACUAGGGUUUUUUCUGAUCAGCCGUUACAUGACCCCAAAAGGAAAGCGCUUGAAAACAGGAGCAUAUCCAUCUCCACUGAUUUGAUGGAAUCUUCUAAGGAGCGUAUCCCACAUAAUCAGCAACAACUAAUCCUCCAUGAUAUCACUAACGAAAAUUAUGUUAGGGAUUCAAUGAUGAUCGUUGACUCGUCACCUGACUACGUGGACGAGCGAAAAAGGCGUCGUGGUACUGACAUCACGGGUAUGGAAACUUCUUCUACGUUAGUAACUUUUCCUGCAGGUCCCACCGAGGAUGGUUCUGACGUUCUUACUUCUCAAGCGGAGGGCUCCGGUUUCGGGGUCGGCCGAGCUCAAUGAAUGUGAUAAGUUGGAAUUGCAGGGGCUUGGGCCAACCCCUAGCAAUUCCCACCCUUAAUGAACUCGUGAGAGUUCAUCGGCCACACUUUCUCUUCCUUUGCGAAACCUUAUCCCGUCGUAACAGAAUGGAAGAGAUCCGCGCUAGGCUUCAUUUUGAUGGUUGCUUUGUUGUUGAUUGUGUUGGGCGAAGCGGCGGGCUUUGCAUGUUGUGGAAUUCUUCGGACAUCUGUAAAUUAAUUGGAUUUUCUGGUAAUCAUAUUGACAUGGAGGUCACAGACUGCAAUGGUACUUCGCGUAUCACCGGCUUCUAUGGUUUCCCGGAAAGAAGUCGAAGGCGUGAUUCUUGGAACUUAUUGAGACGGCUAGCUGGCAUUAACUCACUUCCUUGGGUCAUCUUAGGAUAUUUCAAUGACCUUCUUGAUCCGGGAGACAAAAGAGGGCGUGUGGCGCACCCUUCUUGGCUUUUCUCGGGCUUCCGGUCUGCUAUUCUCGAGUGUGGUCUGUCUGAUAUUCCGAUCCAUGGGCAUCCCUUCACCUGGUCCCGGGGAUCAGAUUCUGCAAACUUUGUUGAAGAAAGGCUUGAUAGGGGAAUGGCGACUCCUAAUUGGCAUGCUCUAUUUCCCGAUGCUUUUCUUAAGACUUAUUUGGUGCCGAUGUCGGACCACGUGCCUAUCAUUCUCCAUCUAAAAGGUUCUCCCAUAACUACUCUGACCCGUCGGUUUAGGUUUGAGAACAAGUGGUGUCUUGAACCGGAUUUACCGCAUGUUGUCCGUAACUGUUGGACGAAUCUUCAUGGCGUUAGCAUUCUAGAGAGACUGACCGCGGUCUCUGAUUCUAUCUCUAUAUGGGCGAAGGCUCUUCAUGGUGAUGAACGAAGUAAAAAGAAGCGGCUCCAGAAGACCAUAUCCUCCCUCCAAGGGCGGGAUGACUCUUUUGCCAUUAGUAGAACUAAUGAUAGAACUCUAUUUUUGGAUGAGUAGACUUGUAUGAUGCUUUUGUGAUUAAGUCUGUUAUUUUGUGUAAAUUUGAUGUUCAAAUAAUAGUAGUUGACUUUUGUCGUUCAAACAUGAUGUUCAAAUAUGAUGCUUGUGUCGUUGGUUUAUGGCUUAAAUUUUGAGCAGUUUUCUUUGUUCUAGUUGAAUUGCACUAUUUGUUGUGUUGAUGUUAAAGUGAAUUUGACUUUUGAUUGAAUGUGUUUGUAGCUUAGCUUGGGAUUUUGAUUGACAACCUUAUAGGUUUAUGUCGAAAAACUAGAAAUCAAAAUAAAACUAGACUUAAAAAAGAAGAGGGACAACAUGACGUUAUUUCUAAGGAGAGAUCUAUUAGUGCUUGGUAUUGUAUUAGGAUCCCAAAUGGUCAUAUUGCUGAUUUUUCAAUCAUACCAUACUCUCUCUCAAAUUGUUGUGCAAGUGAAACUUUUGAGGUUCUUCAAAAUGAACUUUUUUUUUCUUAGUAUUUCUUAUUGAUACUUGGCUCUUUGAAGGAGAAAAAUGUGUUCUAUUGCUGCAUUGUUUUUUAUGUAGGGGAAAACCCUUUGAAUUUGACCUUUUUAUUUUAAAAUUCUCAAACAGGUGGGGAUGCCCUCCAAGCAACUUUCCAUUAACAUAUUCUGCAAAAGAACAUGCUAUCUGGGAAAGGUGAAAAUGUAAGAAGGCAGUUGAGAUUGGAUCCAACCAACUUUAAUUCUGAGCUUAUUCAUUGAAUUAAUGACUUUGUUCGUUAUUGUCAUAUAUUUUAUUCGGUGAAAAACUAAUGUUUUAU